AUGAAGCCACAGAAGAAUGUAAUUCUGGCAGAGACAGACAAGGCCUUUUACAAACCUGGAGAAACAGUAUCCCCAGACAUGGCUGGAGAGCUGAUGAAGUUUGAAAUGAAGCUUGAGCACCCUCUGUUCAUUACUACAGUGGAUGAAGAAUUACAGGUGAAGGUCUGUGGCAAGUACACCUACGGGAAGCCCAUUCAGGGGAAAAUAGACGUUUCUUUUAUUCUGAGCUUGCAUUCUUCUGAAGAAGAAACUUCAAAUUCUACUGAGAUGAAGGAGUACAAGAGCUGGGAAUGA
rnacentral:lncRNA from 1 species